rnacentral:rRNA from 1 species
AACUGAAGAGUUUGAUCAUGGCUCAGAUUGAACGCUGGCGGCAGGCUUAACACAUGCAAGUCGAGCGGGGGAAGGUAGCUUGCUACUGGACCUAGCGGCGGACGGGUGAGUAAUGCUUAGGAAUCUGCCUAUUAGUGGGGGACAACAUCU